rnacentral:rRNA from 1 species
GAUGAACGCUGGCGGCGUGCCUAAUACAUGCAAGUCGAGCGAACGGACGAGAAGCUUGCUUCUCUGAUGUUAGCGGCGGACGGGUGAGUAACACGUGGAUAACCUACCUAUAAGACUGGGAUAACUUCGGGAAACCGGAGCUAAUACCGGAUGAUAUUUUGAACCGCAUGGUUCAAAAGUGAAAGACGGUCUUGCUGUCACUUAUAGAUGGAUCCGCGCUGCAUUAGCUAGUUGGUAAGGUAACGGCUUACCAAGGCAACGAUGCAUAGCCGACCUGAGAGGGUGAUCGGCCACACGGGAACUGAGACACGGUCCAGACUCCUACGGGAGGCAGCAGUAGGGAAUCUUCCGCAAUGGGCGAAAGCAUGACGGAGCAACGCCGCGUGAGUGAUGGAGGUCUUCGGAUCGUAAAACUCUGUUAUUAGGGAAGAACAUAUGUGUAAGUAACUGUGCACAUCUUGACGGUACCUAAUCAGAAAGCAACGGCUAACUACGUG